GACGAACGCUGGCGGCGUGCUUAACACAUGCAAGUCGAACGGAAAGGCCCUGCUUGCAGGGUACUCGAGUGGCGAACGGGUGAGUAACACGUGGGUGAUCUGCCCUGCACUUCGGGAUAAGCCUGGGAAACUGGGUCUAAUACCGGAUAGGAGCCAUUUUUAGUGUGAUGGUUGGAAAGUUUUUUCGGUGUAGGAUGAGCUCGCGGCCUAUCAGCUUGUUGGUGGGGUAAUGGCCUACCAAGGCGGCGACGGGUAGCCGGCCUGAGAGGGUGGACGGCCACAUUGGGACUGAGAUACGGCCCAGACUCCUACGGGAGGCAGCAGUGGGGAAUAUUGCACAAUGGGCGCAAGCCUGAUGCAGCGACGCCGCGUGGGGGAUGACGGCCUUCGGGUUGUAAACUCCUUUCGCUAGGGACGAAGCUUUUGUGACGGUACCGAGAUAAGAAGCACCGGCUAACUACGU
rnacentral:rRNA from 1 species